GGAAAGGAUGUAGCUCAGUGGUAGAGCAUUUGCUUUGCAUGCAGAAUGUCCCAGGUUCAGCCCCUGGCAUCUCUU